UACGUAGGGUGCAAGCGUUAAUCGGAAUUACUGGGCGUAAAGCGUGCGCAGGCGGUGAUGUAAGACAGAUGUGAAAUCCCCGGGCUCAACCUGGGACCUGCAUUUGUGACUGCAUCGCUAGAGUACGGUAGAGGGGGAUGGAAUUCCGCGUGUAGCAGUGAAAUGCGUAGAGAUGCGGCGGAACACCGAUGGCGAAGGCAGCCCCCUGGGCUGAGAUUGACGCUCAGGCACGAAAGCGUGGGGAGCAAACAGG
rnacentral:rRNA from 1 species